UGAACGCUAGCGACAGGCCUAACACAUGCAAGUCGAGGGGCAGCACAAGGAGCAAUCUGAGGUGGCGACCGGCGCACGGGUGAGUAACACGUAUGCAACCUGCCUGUAAGCGGGGAAUAACCCGUUGAAAGACGGACUAAUACCGCAUAAUACUAAAUUACUGCAUGGUAAUUUAUUUAAACAUUUAUGGCUUACAGAUGGGCAUGCGCAUGAUUAGCUAGUUGGAGAGGUAACGGCUCCCCAAGGCAACGAUCAUUAGGGGUUCUGAGAGGAAGGUCCCCCACACUGGUACUGAGACACGGACCAGACUCCUACGGGAGGCAGCAGUGAGGAAUAUUGGUCAAUGGACGAGAGUCUGAACCAGCCAAGUCGCGUGCAGGAAGAAAUGUCCUAUGGAUUGUAAACUGCUUUUGCAGGGGAAUAAAGUGCAACACGUGUGAUGUUUUGUAUGUACUCUGCGAAUAAGGAUCGGCUAACUCCGUGCCAGCCGCCGC
rnacentral:rRNA from 1 species